UGGAUAGCUCAGAGGAAGAGCAUCGGUCUAGUCAACCGAGUGUCGCGGGUUCGACUCCCGCUCCAA
rnacentral:tRNA from 1 species